AGAGGCCCUAGUUGAUAUUACAACGGCGUAAAGGGUGGUUAAGGAUAAACAAAAAUAAAGUCAAAUGGCCCCUUGGCCGUCAUACGCUUCUAGGAGUCCGAAGCCCUAAUACGAAAGUAACUUUAAUAAACCCACCUGACCCCACGAAAGCUGAGAAACAAACUGGGAUUAGAUACCCCACUAUGCUCAGCCGUAAACUCAGACAUCCAGCUACAAUUAGAUGUCCGCCAGGGUACUACGAGCAUUA
rnacentral:rRNA from 1 species